GAUGAAGAACGCAGCGAAAUGCGAUACUUGGUGUGAAUUGCAGAAUCCCGUGAACCAUCGAGUCUUUGAACGCAAGUUGCGCCCGAAGCCAUCAGGUUGAGGGCACGUCUGCCUGGGCGUCACAUAUCGUUGCCCAAUGCCUAUUGCAGUGCAAUAGGAAUUUCUAGGGCGAAUGAUGGCUUCCCGUGAGCGUUGUUGCCUCGCGGUUGGUUGAAAAUCGAGUCCUUGGUAGGGUGUGCCAUGGUAGAUGGUGGUCGAGUUAGAACGAUACCGAUCAUGUGCAUGCUCCCCAAAAUAUGGCCUCUAUGACCCACACGCGUCUUUUGACGCUCAUGACGAGACCUCAGGUCAGGCGGGGCUACCCGCUGAAUUUAAGCAUAUCAACAAGCGGAGGA
rnacentral:misc_RNA from 1 species